UUAAUAAAACAUUGAUAAUGUGGGGAUUGAACUGAAUGAACUCUGGAGAGAGAGAGAGAUAGAGGGAAAGGGAGAGAGGGAAAGGGAGAGAGAGAGAGAGAGAGGGAAAGGGAGAGAGAGACAGAUAGAGACAGAGAGUGUGUAAGAGAGAGACAGACAGACAAAGAUAUAGACAGAGACAGACAGAGAGUAGAGAGAGAGAGAGAGAGAGUGAGAGAGAGAGGGAAAGACAAAGAGGGCAUCCCAAAAACUCCUGGACAAUUAUCACUAAUUGGAGUCAUUAUUAUUCGCCAUUCUCUACAUCAAUAUUGUGAUUCAUAUCACGGCCAUCAGCGUUCACCACCACCAUCCCAAUUACUUAGGCUACUUAAUGACUGGUAUUACUCAUCACCCUGGCAACCGGCAACUUGGCCACCAUUGUUUUAAUGGCACUAAUUGUACUAGCAGCACCAUACAUCAAGCAGAGGCCCAGCCCGGGAAGUAAUUGUGAGUUAUUCAUAUCAAAACCCAUAGAACAGCAUAUACAAAUCCAGGCAGAAAAGAGUGGUGGGAUGUUUGAGGCCGAGGCUAGAAAAUAGGACUAAUUAGAGUCCAUUACUUCCACAUCCUCUGCCAGCUGUCACCUCUUCAAUGGAGAUGAGGCCUAGCUACCCGCCGAUGCUGCUGAUGUAGAGACAGACAGACCAGGCAGGCAGGCCUGCGCUGUGCAUGACACAUCCACCACCACGCACCUGGCUGCCAAGCCAAUGGGAUCAGGCGAGGGUGGCGGGAGACAGGGACAGAACAGUCAAACCAGGAAAUGAAUGGAGGAGCAGAGAGGGGGUCCGGUAUAAUAACACCACAGCUGGGAGAGAGAUAUGAGAUGACGCAGGUCCCCUCAGCAUGGCCCCACGGGGGCCCUGCCACUUUAACUGCAGUUUUUAUAGUCCAUCCACUGUAGGCCAGGGGCUUGUGAAUACCAAUAGGCAGGGCUAGACUUCUACACAGUAGUAUGACUACAGAAGAGAAAAGACCCACCGUGGCAGAAGUAUUAAUCCUGACCCCAUUAAAAUCAGAGUCAUAAUAAAAUACUCCACAUGCAUGGAAUUAGAUUGAGAGAGAAUGUAAGGCGAUCGAUACCGAAGCGGUGUACUGACAGUAUGAAAAACAGAUAAAUAAAACAAGAUACUAUUGUCAGUUCCCCUUUUGGCCAAGUGGGGGCAGUGUUUCAUUGCAGUGAAAGGCCCUGAUCAGAGUUCCACUCCACUCUCCCCACGGCCCUGAAAACGUGCAUUUAUUUACGCCAGCUACACAGCACUCAGACAGCCAAUCAUUUCAAAAUGCAUAAACAAAUAAAUAAAUAAAUAAUACAUAUAGGUAUAAAUAAACAAGGCCGUAUCCGGGGCGUCCUAAAUGGUUCCCAAGGUGGAGAUGAGUUAUAAGGAGGGUUAGAGGAGGGGGGAGUUGGGAGCACAGCCAGAUGUAUGAAGACG
ensembl:lncRNA